CCUACGGGAGGCAGCAGUGAGGAAUAUUGGUCAAUGGGCGCGAGCCUGAACCAGCCAAGUCGCGUGAGGGAAGACGGUCCUAUGGAUUGUAAACCUCUUUUGUCGGGGAGCAAAAGACGCCACGCGUGGCGUUCCGAGAGUACCCGAAGAAAAAGCAUCGGCUAACUCCGUGCCAGCAGCCGCGGUAAUACGGAGGAUGCGAGCGUUAUCCGGAUUUAUUGGGUUUAAAGGGUGCGCAGGCGGAAGAUGAAGUCAGCGGUAAAAUUGAGAGGCUCAACCUCUUCGAGCCGUUGAAACUGGUUUGCUUGAGUGAGUGAGAAGUAUGCGGAAUGCGUGGUGUAGCGGUGAAAUGCAUAGAUAUCACGCAGAACUCCGAUUGCGAAGGCAGCAUACCGGCGCUCAACUGACGCUCAUGCACGAAAGUGUGGGUAUCGAACAGGAUUAGAUACCCCUGUAGUC
rnacentral:rRNA from 1 species